UAUUAUUUAUUAUCUGUAAUAUAAUAAAUGUUUUCUGUUGUAGCCUCUGAUGAUGGUUCAAACAACUCCUAAUGCAUGAAGAUGAGACCAGACACGUGGAAGAGAUGCUAGUCCAACUGCUUAUCUGUCCAGUCAUACAAAAUUGCACAUAAGCAGACAUAAACA